rnacentral:rRNA from 1 species
ACUAAGCAUAUCAAUAAGCGGAGGAAAAGAAAUCAACAGAGAUUGCCUCAGUAACGGCGAGUGAAGCGGCAACAGCUCAAAUUUGAAAUCUGGCCCUUUCAGGGUCCGAGUUGUAAUUUGCAGAGGGUGCUUUGGCAUCGGUUGCAGCCUAAGUUCCUUGGAACAGGACGUCGCAGAGGGUGAGAAUCCCGUAUGUGGCCGCCAGCCUUUGCCGUGUAAAGCCCCUUCGACGAGUCGAGUUGUUUGGGAAUGCAGCUCUAAAUGGGAGGUAAAUUUCUCCUAAAGCUAAAUACCGGCCAGAGACCGAUAGCGCACAAGUAGAGUGAUCGAAAGAUGAAAAGCACUUUGGAAAGAGAGUCAAAAAGCACGUGAAAUUGUUGAAAGGGAAGCGCUUGCAGCCAGACGUGCCUGCGGUUGUUCAUCCGGGCUUCUGCCCGGUGCACUCUUCCGCAUGCAGGCCAGCAUCAGUUUCGGCGGCCCGAUAAAUACCUGCUAAACGUACCUCCCCCGGGAGGACUUAUAGGGUAGGUGGCAUAUGGUCGCGCGGGACUGAGGUCAGCGCUUCGGCGAGGAUGCUGGCGUAAUGGUGGCAAGCGGCCCGUCUUGAAACACGGACCAAGGAGUCUAACAUCUAUGCGAGUGUUUGGGUGUCAAGCCCGAGCGCGCAAUGAAAGUGAACGGAGGUGAGAUCCCUUGCGGGUGCAUCAUCGACCGAUCCUGAUGUCUUCGGAUGGAUUUGAGUAAGAGCAUAGCUGUUGGGACCCGAAAGAUGGUGAACUAAGCUUGAAUAGGGUGAAGCCAGAGGAAACUCUGGUGGAGGCUCGCAGCGGUUCUGACGUGCAAAUCGAUCGUCAAA